rnacentral:rRNA from 1 species
AUGUCAUAUAGGAGCAACAACCCUGAGAUCUCAUCGUUUGCCUCUAGUUAUCCAAUGCAGGGAUUUAGGUAUGAAGAGGAGAGCAACAACUAUGCACCACAGCAAUUGUAUUCAUCUCCUACUCAUAUACCUCAACACCAGGAGAUGUUGCCAAUGGAGUUAAAUGGUCCUCCAUUUGGUCAACCAACACCUUCAACACAAGUGCCCACACAAGAUGAUUUUGAUGAUAUAGACAAGCUCACAUUGCUUAGUCUCGAGUUCACUUGGAGUGCCGAAGAUGAUCCAAUUAGGCUGGUGAUACUAGAGGAAAUGAAGAAGAUCAAGAGUGGAAAAGAGCUAGUGGAAGAAGUAAGGAAGAUUGAGAAGAACAUCAGCGCUGGCAGUACUAUCUCCUCCCUCCUUGAGCUGAGUGUUGCCAAGAUUCCCCUUGAUACAUGUGAGGUUCCAAUACCGUCACAUCCAGCUGAGCAAGAUAGAAAGAGUCCAGAGGAAGAAAGACCUCAGAUUGAAGAAGAAAUACUUGAAGACAAGGAACAAGAUGAUCCAGAGCUCGAACAACAAAGUGAUCAAGUUGAAGACUCAUCAUCUAUUACUCUUGAAGAAGCAAAAGAAGUUGAUGUGAUUGAAGAUGAAGAACCAGAAAAGCAUUUGCCCAUCGUCAUACAGGAGCGUGAUUUAGCAGGUUUAUCCAAUCCUCUUGAUGACAUGCUUCCUUAUGAGAUCUUUGCUGCUACUUUCCAUUGCGUUAUACCAUCAAUCAAGCUAGACUUGAAAAAUUAUUUGCUUGGACAUGAUCAUACAUACACUGUUGGUGGCAUUGCUCUCAUUCCUGAUGAUGACACUUAUUUUCCUUAUGCUAGUCCUAUGCUUAAUGAAACAUAUUAUUCCCAUGCUAGUCUUGAGCUUAAUGAUAAAUUUCAUCCUCAUGUUAGUGUUGACCUUGCUGAUUUCUACCAUCCUAAACAUGUGCUUUAUAGCUAUGCUUAUGUAAUUGGAUAUUCGAUUGACGACUUGGAGGGUAUUAUCCCUACCACUUGGAUUGUCUCUUUUGUUGAGAGUUCUUUCAGGUUUUUGCUUGUGCACGAUCCACUACAUGCUGACCAGGUUCGAGGUGACAUUCCUUGGGACCCUGGUGGACUCAGAGCAUGGGGAUGA